rnacentral:tRNA from 2 species
AGCCCGGUAGUGUAGCGGUCAAUCAUUGGGGGCCCUGGAUCCCCGGACCUCGGUUCGAAUCCGUGCCGGGCUACCA